UACGUAGGGUGCAAGCGUUAAUCGGAAUUACUGGGCGUAAAGCGUGCGCAGGCGGUUUUGUAAGUUUGUCGUGAAAGCCCCGGGCUCAACCUGGGAAUGGCGAUGAAGACUGCAAGGCUUGAAUCUGGCAGAGGGGGGUAGAAUUCCACGUGUAGCAGUGAAAUGCGUAGAGAUGUGGAGGAACACCGAUGGCGAAGGCAGCCCCCUGGGCCAAUACUGACGCUCAUGCACGAAAGCGUGGGGAGCAAACAGG
rnacentral:rRNA from 1 species